rnacentral:lncRNA from 1 species
CUCAUUUUCUUCUUCUUCCGGGGUGGGGUGCUCCGGGUCGUAGAAGUCCCCCAUGGUGGGGCGGGCGCUGUCGCCGGGGUCGGGAGGGCAGCGCGGCCCCUCCCGCGGGCAGGGCCGGCCCGGGAGCCCCUCUCCGCCCUCCGAGCCCGGUGGGGCUCGGCUCCGCGGCCGCCGCCUCACAUCCUCCGUGGGGCCCCGCGCUGCAGCGGCCGCCGGCGGGGCCCCGCCAUCCGCGCCGCGCCGUGCCCUGCCCGCCCGCCGAGCGCCGAUCCGCCCCGGCCCGGCCCGGCUCCUCCCCGCCGCGACGUCCGCGCCGCCGCCGCCGCCGCUGCUCCCCCCCCGCUUCCGAACGGGGCUGCGGAACGGCGCCGGGAUCCAACGGGACCCACCGGGAGUGCCGGGAUCCAACCGGCCGGCUGGCACCACCGGGACAAGAGGGACCCGCUGGGACAACCACCACCCUACCCCCCCACCCUGGGCAACCAGGACAGCCGGGACCCAACGGGACAACCGGGACCCAAUGGGUCAACCGCCCCCCCACCUCCCACCCUGGGUAACCAGGACCCCACGGGACAACUGGGACAGCCAGGACCUCAAAGGGCAACCUGGACAAUCAACAUGCAUUGGGACAGCCGGUACCUACUGGGACAACCAGGACUAAGUGGGACAGCUAUCAUCUACUGGGACAGCUGGGACUAAACAGGAUAACCUGGUACCAACCAAGACAACCAGAACCUACUGGGGCAAAUGUGGCUAUCAGGACCCCAUAGGACAACUGGGACUCAAUGGAGCAACCAGCCUCCAUCCGGGGCUGUCAAGACAACUGGGACAACCAGUACCCAACAGGACAACCGGGGCCUUUGGGAUCACUGAGACGCCCAGAAUCAGCACCAGGAUCAGCACCGGGACGCCAUCGCUCCUGGGAUCACCAGGAACUCCAGGAUCACCACUGGGACACUUGAGAUCAGUGGGAGCCCCGGGAUCAGCUCCGAGACCCCAGGGAUUAGUACUGGGACCCAUAGGAUCAACGGGACCCCUGGGAUCAGCACCAGGACACUGUCACCCCUGGGACAACCAGCAACCCCAUGAUCACCCCCUGGACAACCGAGACCUUUGGGAUCACCAAAAGUGCCAGGAUCACCCCCUGACCCCAAAACAACUGGCAACCCCCGGAUCCCCACAUCCUCCUGGGAUCAGUGCAGGGAUCACUCACACCCAAGGAUACGGGACACAAGCACCCCUGGGACAACCAGCCCCCCAGGAUCACUGGGACCCCCAGAAUCACUCUGCAGGAUCUCCGGGGAUCCAUCACACCCAUGGACAUUGUGGCACCACAGAACACAGCACUCCGGCACACAAACACCCCAAGAUGGCUAAAAGCUGCUCUUGCCCCUUUCAAAGAUUAUUUUCUUUCUCCCUGGGGGAGAACUCAUUUCCUUGCGAAAUUCUGCCUGGGCUGAACUUCCAGCUGCUUUAUAAGCCUCUGCAAAUUGAUUAUUACAAAGAAAAGGCUGAUGUACACACACUGUUAUCACCAGCCCUUGGGCUGAGCAGGCGAUAUUACAGCAACAAAGUAAACUGCAAGGAAUUAAAGCCAAGCAAACAGCUUGGAUUAAUUAAUCUUCCCAGCAUUUCAGGUGAAAACCCCCAGCUCAGGAUGCUGUAACCCGUGGUGGAUGGAGCAGCCCAAAAAGCUGCAGCAAGGAGCUGGUAGAAGGAAGAAGAGUUACAGCGAUGGGCUCUGCGGCGCACUGCAGCAGAGAUGUCCCACAUCCAGGUCAUCCAUGCAAACCAGAGCAGGUAGGGGAGGAGAGGUUGCCCUUCCCAGCCAUGGUUCUGUGUGGGAUGCAGUCAGCAGAGCAAGGGAUGUCCCUUGGAGGACUCAGCAGCCCUCGGUGUGCUCUGCUCAAUGCUGGAGGUGGCAGCAGCCUGGUGAAGCAGCACAAUGCUCUCCAGAGCUUUCCAGUUGCUGGGCGCUGUGAUCUCAAUCCAGAACUACCUUGCUGGAGAGCAAUGGGCAAACAGUGCCCAACUCUCCUGUCCUGGGGUGGGGAGGCUGCUUUAACUCAACACUACUGUAUCUAAUGCUCAGCAACUGGUGGAAAUGCUUCCUUGUGUGCACCUAUCUCCAGAGCAGGCUGCUGGAGCCCUGGGGCUGCUUCAGUCUGAGGGCUCUCACCCACUCCUGCUUGUCAGGAUCCACCCUGAGAGCAUGGAGCCAGCACAGAUGUGCCCUGAUGCUCGCACAGGUGAGAAUAAGGCUGGGAGGCUCUGUCUCCAGGAGGAAGGAGGGCAGGAGCAGUGCAGGGUGCCCAUGACACCCCUCUGCCACCACACUGCCUGGUGCAGGGACACCCACAAAGACAAGCACUGCUGUUUCAGCUCCCUGGCUUGCAUCCUGUCCAAGCUCUGGGUCUGAUUACCAGUAACUGCUGUUCUAGCUGCAAAAACCAAGUUGUUUCUUUGAUACUGUCUUUUUCCUUUUGUUUAUUUUUGGUAAACCAGUUGUGGAAAUGAAGUGACGUUGCUCAUCCCCCUUGUGCUGAAUGCCAGGCGAGCCCCAAUCUGCUAUGUGACAUGCAGAAAUGACAGGGCUUUAUCCUUCCCUGCAGCUGUGAUGUGCCCGGGUUUCUUGUGCAUUAGCUUGAGGGAUGACAUGGUUCUGCUGUAUGUGUGCUGGCAACAGAAAACAAACAAAAAACCAGUUAUUUUCAGAACAGAAGUCUCGUCAGUAAAAGCAUUUUCCCUGCCAAAAUAAACACCCUUUCCAACCGUCCCAAGUAGGGCUGCUCAAAUAGGAACCAUGGAGAGUGCAGCUCUGUCACAGCAGCAUUGCUUUGCUGGUUGCAAAUGCCAUGAAGCUUGGAGGAGGGUACAAGAAGCCCUUAGGGCUCAGCCUGGGAGCUUCUGCCAGAACUGAGGUGUUGGUUUUGUGAUGUUCUCUUAAAAAAUGUAUAGUGGUAUAACAGUGCAGCCCUAACACUCAAUCUUUCUGAAGUCCCACUAAGCUCACAGCCUCUCUGGUAAUUUAUGGUGAGCCUUUGCCAGGAGGGAAGUAGUGGUAAAAAGUGCUGGGAUUGCUUUUUAGCAAUAGGAUGGGGCCUGUACAUCAGCCAGUAGCAAUGAACAUCUCAAAGUGCUUCGCUGUGCUGGAGAACACCUUCAACGUGGUCCAAAGGGCUGUGGCCAAACUGCAGCCAAACAGGCCCAGAGGAGCCCUGCAGCAAGGCAUGGAGCUGCUCUCGCUACACACGUUGGCAGUGUUACAAGGAACUGGGUCCAGCUGACAUCACCUUUUGAUCCGUUUUCAUUUUUGCUUUGUAGAAUGAGACAGAAUCCGGCCCAGCGGGCAGCAUCACCUCCUGCAUCCGCUCGAACCUGUCCUGCUCAUCUUCCUCCUGCCAGCAGAAAGACAGAGCCACGUGAAAACCACACACUGUGGCGGAUUCCAUUUGUUGCAUUGAACGCUGGUUCUCAGAAGCCUCAGGACAUGGGCUGGGAGUGGUAGGUGCCCCCUUUCCCUUCCUUAGCUGAACAGAUCUGGGCAGGACUUCAGGCAAAGGCCAUCUGCGAGCAUAGAACCUUGGAGGGAGUUCCCUCAGCUGUCUUCUCCAGCUGUAUCUACCCAUGGGACUGUCUCCACUGCAGGGUAAUCUCCCAGCAGGAAGAACAUCUGAGCUGCAAGUUCUGCCCCAUGCCUACAUCUCUCCAGGCAACGUCUUGGAUGGCGUGAGCACAGCAAGGAAGAGCGUGGGUGGAAUAGAAGCAUAACUUUUUAGAAUUAUAGAAUUGUGGAAUCAGGUAUCAGCCAGUGCAUAAUGUGUCCGUGUUUGAGGAGCACCCUGGCAGAUUCUUUGGGCACCUUCUGAUCGUGAGCAGCUUGCAGAAGGUAACGGUGACUGGUUACCUUACAAAAAGGUAAAUGGCCAAACUGACUCAAACCAGGAGGAAAAGGUGCAUACCCUGAUGAGAGCAAUCAGUCUGGAAAAGGAAAAAAAAAUGGUUGAAAGGAGGAAAGAAACCUCUACAGGAAUACCAGCACUGCCAAUGGCACUAACUGGGAACCUCAGUGACCUGCCCAGGGAAAGCAGAAAGAGAAACCAGCACUGAACAGCGUUCCAAGGGACGUUGCUUAACUUCUGCGUGAAGAUUUCUGCCUGUGACAUCAUCAACUUGACACAGCUGCAAAACAUUGCUAAAAGGCAUGCUUCAUUCAUCUUUUGGGUUUUAAUUGAUGUGAUGACAGCAAAUCCAGGGCUGGAAAGUAUUAAGGGAGUUUCUGUGAAUACACUGAGUAACCCUGGUUAGUAAAAGUGACUGGUGAUGGAUUUCCUCUUUUCCCCAAAGAGUGGCACCCUGGGGCAGCGUAGUCAGUCUCCCUGCUGACCUCAAUAGGCACAGCACAUCAUCCAAAGGGGUUUGGGGCUGCUUUUUUCCUUUGGUUGGGGUUUUUUUGGGGCUCUUCUCUGCAUAGAUUUUGCAUCUGCAGUUUUCCAGGCUGGUAUAUCACAGCAUUCUGCUUAAAAGCAAACUUAUACAUCUUUUCCUUACAUAAUGUUUGUUAUUCAUAAUCUCAAGGGAACGACUUCAGUAGGAUAGGAGGAAUCUGUCUAUGAUUAGCUUCAAAACUCUUUGCAUGCCUUUCGAGGAGAGAAUAAAGAAAAUGCUUCACUGAGAUUUACAGUCAAAAUAAUCAGACAUAUGGAGACAAAAGAAGUCAUUUUCAGUUUUCCUUCUUGGGAGCUAAAGGCACCCUGUCCCAAGUGACAGACAGACUAGAAAUAAGGCCAUGCACUUAGGGAGGGGGUCACACAGUUAUGCCCCACUUACAGUCCUUCCCAGCUGCCCACAGGUGCCCCUGCUCCUCCUGGGACAGACAGACCUACAGCAUGUCCACACAGCUGCCCAGAAGGGGUCUGCAGGGGUCAGACAGUGAUGAUGCAGACAGGGACUAAUUCAGGGUGGGAUGCACCCAUUGCUCGUGUCAGAGUGGAAGCCCUGCCACCACAUUGCUAUCAAACAGCAUUAAGGUUUCAAGUGUGACAUUUAAUAAGGAAGGACUGGGAUAACUUCAGAGGAGAAUAAUGCAAAGAAGAAAUCUGGUAAAUAGAAGCUUAAGAGAAAUGUCCAUUGUCAGGAAUGACAGAAGAAGAUGGAUACCCGAAAGAGUUGGUUUCUAAGCAGAAGGCUGGCUAAGUACCAGUUGCCACAACAUGAAACACAAUAGUUCAGCUGUAAACAUUACAGAUCAUACAGUCUGGAAACAAGCCUCCCCACUACCCCUUGCACCUCUGGGCACUUUGCCUGAUUACUGAUAGUCAGCAGAUGACUGGGUGCUUCAAUCACUCUGUCCUAUUUUAGCCUCUUAAUGGCAAAGAUGACAGGAAUGCAAGAUGCACCUCCAGAUAGCUGCUCUCUGCAUCAUGUCAGAUAGCAUUUCAGUGCCACGCUGCUUAGAGAAAGGGGCAGAGCUGCCGUGCCCUCCUCCCACAGGCUUAGCUGUGCCCUCAUUACCACACAACGUGGGGGUAGCAAGAAGAAGCAAAGCUGCCAGGAAAACUCACCAGGCACAUAACUCUGUUUAUGGGAAUCAUUCCAGGUCUGAUGUUGCCACCGGACUUCAGGGCAUUCUGCACAUAUGUGGGGAUGAGGAAGGACUCACUGUACCAGAUCUCAAACUCUGCAAAGCAAAGUGGGUUGCAAUAAAUAGGGCUGUAGUGACCAGAGACAAGGGUGGAUUUCUUCCAGCUCCCUGCCCGUGGGCCAGGCAGGACCUCAGUGCUCCAAACUCCUAAGUUUCAACCUAUUAUUAAAACUCGUUAAUAAGGACAGGGCGCUGUCAGCUGGCAAAGGCUGCUGCUCGGGAGGUGGCAAGGACCUGAUGGCCGUGGGGACAGUCCCUGAGAGAGGCAGGCCACCAGGUGGCACUGCUCCUGCACCCAGCCGUCUUCCCCGAGCCGUUUGCGGGGCAGGGAGCUGGCAAUUUUGAGUGGUCAGGCCAUUUGAGGGUCAGAUUUCAAUCCCAAAUGCUAAAGAAGCACAGCCAAAUUCCAUCCCAUAAUAGCCGGUGAUACCACCCAACAGGUGCUGCCACGCAGCGGGCAUGAUGUCUUUAUAACACUGGGCAUUUCCCAGCAAAGCAGCUGCACUCUGCUCUGUUCCCUUGGCUCAUUUCUCCAUUUCAGGAGCAGCUCCUGCACAGGCAGCGUCCCCCACUAUGACCCACUGCUCUGUGCCACAGGACUCAGGAGUAAUUAGCAAUAUCAGACACAGACCCUGCGGUGCAGACACUGUGGACAUGAUGCAACACCGCUGACUUUUCACCCUGGUAUCAGCUCUGAGCUGACCUCUUUGCUCUGGGAUGACACACAUAUUUGUCUGAGUGGGUCCAUGCCUGAGCAUUUAAACAGCAAUCAUCUGGAGCACCCCAAGAAUGCCAAACCCAGGUCCAACAGAAACCAGUGGCAAACUCACUGUACAAUUAUUAUUUGACCCCGUGUAGCUCCUGGAACAAGCCAUGCAUUUCUUUCAACGUGGGAUUUACUGAUGGAUACAAGUUGUGUUCUGGCAAGUUUGUAGGAAAUGAAGUGUUGCUAUGUCCACAGCAUCCAAAUGUUUGGGACUCUGGCAUUUGUACACCUCCUGUUCCAUCACAAGCAUAAAUGUGGGCAUACAACAGGACCACCCUCUUGGUUGUGCAGACUCAAACUGAGCUGCCUGCAAUGGAGCAUGCCACGAAUUUGCCCAGAUCAUGCAAAGCAAAGGUGUGACUCAUCAGCACGAGGGCUGUGCUCGUGUGUGAAGAACAGGCUAAAAUGACUGAGCUUUGCUUCCUACUGCAGUGCUGAAAUCUGAGUAAUGCUGAUCUCCCAGGGGUACAGAGGAGACAGCUGCAGCUCAGAGCCAAAGGCAGGUGUCGUUCCUUAGUCACCAUCUAUAUUAAAAGAAGUCAAAGGUGAGAACCAGGGCCAUCAGUGAGAGCAUUAUUAUAGGCUCUUACCCCACAGGAAUGCAUCUAGUGGUGUGAUCAGGGAGCAGUAUGUCAUUAUCUGUGAGAGAGAAUCUACAGAAAUUCAGUGGUAUUUCAAAAUAAAUAAACAAAUAAGAUAAGAUAAAAAGAUAAAAACAUAAUAAUCAUCAACAAAAUACAAAUCAGGAAGGCAGUGAGGAAAACCACAACAGAGAAUGGCAGGGGCUUGUGGUAUAUGCAACAAGUCUGUGCAGUGCUUCAGUGCUGAGAUGCUCUUGAGCACUUCAGCUCUGCUGGGUGCUGCUCGGAAGCUGCCCUGGUGUGCCAGUACCUGAGAUGAGUUUGUUCCGGCACUGGUCCACCAGGUGCUGGCAGUACUGGAUUUCUGCCUUCAGGUCCUGCAGUUCAGCAUAGCUACAUCUGUACUCUUCCUUCAGGUCCUUCAACUUCAUGAUGAGUAAAAACUCCUUCUCGUCGAUGAUGAGGCGUCCUUUCUCAUCAACAUACUCUCCUGGAGGGUUAGAAAAGGAAAUCAAGGUUUCUCAUGAGGGCGAAGAGGGACAAAGCACAGUCAUUAUACCACGCGGUAGUUACCCAGUUAUACUGAGGUUAACCACACAACUGAUAUUUCCUUAGACAUGUUUUCUACAAAGACAAUGCUGCAGUGAUGUGGGGCAGAAAUCAUACCUGAGCUCCUGAGCCCACUCAGCCCUGUGAGAUGCAGGUGAGGAGCAUGGUCUGGGCCUGGCAGCCUGCUGGGAGGUGUCACUUAAGGCUCUGGGGACUCUUACAAUAAAGAUUGUCCCCAAACCCCUCAAACCCCUCACCAUGGCUCCUGUGAUGUCCCCUUUGGAGACAAAGGGCUGACCAGCUCUUUGGAGACCAUCUGCUUCCCUAGGAUAAACAUCUUUAGUUCUUGGUUGCCCUCAGAUCAGUUUAUUCUUGCAGUUUCCAGAGCCUGCCAGUUGGUGGAUGUCCUCAUAAAGAGCAAAGGCCCCAAAAAAGUAAUGAGUCUGUGAAAAGAGAAAUGCUCACUCUGAUAUAGCUUCAAGCUGACACCACUCAUCAUUUAGCCAAAAGGGCUCUGCAUCCUGCAGGGUCAGACCCUAUGGGAAGAGGCUGCUCACAAAGCACAGACAGAAGAGCUGUUUUGCAGGAAGGGAAAUGGAAGCCAGUUGUGCACUGUGGGCCUGAUGCAGGGGCCAUCAUUCACUAGUGGGGGCCUUCUUGCUAUUGACCACUCCCUUUCUCUUUCAUUCCCUCUUAGUAGCCCAGCUGCAGGGAGCACAAAAUCUGACAAGCUUUUUAGGCAUAUUCUACCUAUGAAACAUCUCAGCACAGCAGAGUAGCAAGGAACCUACCCCAUUUUUUCCUCUAGCAAUGUGGGAUUUUGACUUCCAUAAGCCAGACACUAAUCUAGGUGAAAUCAGACUGUAGGGCAGUGAGGCACUGGCACUGCUGCCCAAAGAAGCUGUGGAUGCCUCAUCCCUGGAAGUGCUCAAGGCCAGGUUGGAUGGGACCCUGGGCAGCCUGAGCUGGUGGGGGCAACCAGCCCAUGGCAGCAAGGUGGAACUUGAUGGGAUUUAAGGUCUCUUCUAACCCAAUUGUUCUGUGAUUGUAUGAGAUGCAAUAAAUCUCCACCACGGUAAGGCCGAGCCUGCUCCCCAUGACUUCUGUGCUGUAUUGACCUGCAUUUGUCAGCAUCAGAGCACAGAGUGAGGAGUGCUGAGGACUCCAAGGCAGGAGGAAUCAGGUGGCAAACCACAAGGCCAGCUGCAGAGCUAAGGCAUAAAGGAUGGCAAGCAGCAGUGGGGUGUAGUGGUCCCGCCACCAAAACUGCUCUGAAACCAGCAGCUCCCUCUCCUGCCAGGUUCUUACUGGCCAUUCUCCACGCAGUGACUUACCCUGCUGUGACCGCUCCUGCCUCUGAGCCUCCAGAGCCUUUUUGAUGUCCUCUAUUUCCUGUUUGAUGAUGUUGAUCCUCCGGGCUACUGUACUGCUUCUCUUCCUCCUGGCGAGGAGGAUGCUUUUGUUCUCUUUAAAGAUCCGGUUGAUCUCACUUCCACACUCCUUCUUAAACUGCUCAAAUGCCACUGCCCUGGAUGGAGGGGAGCUGCAACAGAAUUCAAAGACACAUGGAGCUGUGGGGAGGUCAGUCUGUUCUGCCCUGAGUUACACCAUGGGAGUGGCCAUCCCUGAGGUUUAUGGAUGGUAUUUCAGUGGGACAUUUGAGGACCCCACUGUGCCAGCUGCAUCCUGGUACCAUCUCUGUGCUGGCCUUCACGCAUCUGUCCCCCCUACAUAACUCCCCCAAGAGUUAUUUCCAUGGAAGCCACAUUCCUCAGAUGUCUCAGAAUCGAUUCUUUCCUGGAAAGAGGAUUUCUAAUAGUUUGAAUGUUCAGAAAAACAACUAAUCCCGUUCCUCCCUAUUGUUGAACAGAAAUGCUUUUGUUCUUUUCUUUGUGGAUUCCCAGCACAGACUGACCACGUCUGCCAAGCAAAGCCCUGAGCUGCAUACAGUUGGCUACUCUACAAUGCUGCCUCCCAUGGCCUUUAAGCUCAGCCUGUUUUGAAAGACUGAAUUCAAAGUUGUAUUUGUC